AUGUGCAAAGCGUUCAACGUGGUUGGUAGGGCGUGCGGGGGCGGUGUGCGGUGGGUGGGGCUCACGGAGCACAGUUUGAAUUUAUGCUGCCUUGGGGGCGUGCCGAUGGCAGCUAUUGCUGCGCGCUGUGGGGACUUGGUGCAGGUUUUGACAAGCCUUGAGCUAAACUUGUGGUGCCAAAGACCUGGAUAUAUCGUGCCUUUUAUGGUUGUGGGUAUCUUGUCCAUUGCCUCUUCGUGCCUCAGUUUGCUCCUUUGUGAUAUGGCAGAGCAUAGUCCCUACCUGAGCACAUUGCAGAGAGUUCCGAAAUGGGCUGCAAGCGUACUGAAAAGGAGUGACGGUUUUCUAAGCCGCCUGUUUGUGAGUCCUCUGCCUUCCAGGUACACCUGGGAUGGUGCAAGUGCUCCCCUGGCUAUUGACCCAUCUUGCUUGGUACUGUGGCGGUUCCUGCUAUGACUGGAGACUGCAUGAGAACAAGACCAGUUACAAAGUCUGCAGGUCCGGUGGUACUACCGUGCUAUGGUAAGGCCACACCACUUAGGCCCUUUCCUGGUCUUUUUUUUUUUUUCUUUGUCUUUU
rnacentral:lncRNA from 1 species